UUACGGUCCUAUCACGUUGAAACACCGGUUCCUGUACAAUCAACGAAGUUAAACAACGUCGUUCCUGGUCAGUAGCUAGAUGGGUGACCGCUUGGGAACAUCAUGUGCUGUAAG